GGGGAAUUAGCUCAAGUGGUAGAGCGCUCGCUUCGCAUGCGAGAGGUAGUGGGAUCAAUACCCGCAUUCUCCA
rfam:Chelonia mydas contig188790, whole genome shotgun sequence.